GAUGAACGCUAGCGAUAGGCCUAACACAUGCAAGUCGAGGGGCAUCACAUGAAGCAGCAAUGCGGAUGGUGGCGACCGGCGCACGGGUGAGUAACACGUAUGCAACCUGCCUACAACAGGGGGAUAACCCGUUGAAAGACGGGCUAAUACCCCAUAAUACAGGGGCCCCGCAUGGGAAUAUUUGUUAAAGAUUAAUCGGUUGUAGAUGGGCAUGCGUUCCAUUAGCUAGUUGGUGAGGUAACGGCCCACCAAGGCAACGAUGGAUAGGGGAACUGAGAGGUUUAUCCCCCACACUGGUACCGAGACACGGAUCAGACUCCUACGGGAGGCAGCAGUGAGGAAUAUUGGUCAAUGGACGCAAGUCUGAACCAGCCACGUCCGCGUGAAGGAAGACGGCCCUACGGGUUGUAAACUUCUUUUGUAAGGGAAUAAAGUGAUAGUACGUGUACUAUUUUGCAGUGUACCUUA
rnacentral:rRNA from 1 species